CGUUCUUGAAGCAGGGAAUUGAGUAACUUUCUCAAGUGCACGUUGACACUCCGUAUAUUUCUACCAGUAUCACCGAGGUUCAGUAUUUCUCAUGAAAGAAUUUCGAGCCUGGAAUUCUCUAGAGAAGCCUCCAUGCCGGUAUUCUCCAUUGUAGCAGAACAACUCUCAUCAAUAUGUUCGCAUCUCAGCUCAAUCCAUCCAGCCAACUUUUCUGCCAGGUUCUCUUCGUGUCUCCCAUAAAGUCGACUUCAACAGGACUGGGCAAGUCUGGAAGUAACUCUGAGCCUCACUAGUAUGCUGAUGACAGGCAGAUCUUCCACUGUCUGCCCUUUCAGAUUCUGGAAACUGACCCGUGAACUCAGGUCUUUGGGCAGCAGCAGUAACUCGAACUUGCACAGCUUCCCGAGCAAAAGACCAAAGCCAAGCUCCACAGAGGGCGGCAGACCCUCCAUCACACUGAUCCACCCACAGAAUUCUGCCCAGGUACCUUGGUUCCAUCAGCCACAACAAGCCUCGCAGUACACAGCAACAUUCCUUCUGGAAUUCCAUCCGACGUCAGGAAUCUUGGACUCGUUUUUGAAGCAGAUAAUCGAGUAAUAUUCUCAAGGUCACGUUGACUCUCCGUAUGAUUCUGCCAGUAUCAGCGAGGUUCAGUAGGUCUCAUGAAUGUCUUUCGAGCCUGGUAUGCUCUAGAGAUGUCUCCAUGCAGAUAUUCUCCACUGUAGCAGAACAACUUUCAUCAAUGUUUUCGCACAUCUCCUCAAUCCAUGCAGCCAGUGUUUCUGCCAGCUUCUCUUCGUGUCUCCCAUAAAGUCGACGUCAACAGGACUGGGCAAGUCUGAAAAUAUCUCAGAGCCUCACCAUUAAGCUGAUGACAGGCAGAUCUUCCACUGUCUGCCCUUUCAGAUUCUGGAAACUGACCCGUGAACUCAGGUCUCUGGGCAGCAGCAGUAUCUCGAACUUAAACAGCUUCCCGUACAAAAGACCUAAGCCAAUCUCCACAUAGGGCAGCAGACCCACCAUCAAACUGAUCCACCCACAGAAUUCUGCACAUUUACCUUGGAUCCACCAGCCGCAACACGCCUCGUGAUACACACCAACAUUCCACCUGGAAUCCAACAGACGUCAGGAAUAUUGGACCCGUUCUUGGAGCAGAGAAUCGAGUAGUUUUCUCAAGGGCACGUUUACUCUCCGAAUGAUUCUUCCAGUAUCACCGAGGUUCAGUAGGUCUCAUGAAUGUAUUUCGAGCCUGGUAUGCUCUAGAGAUGUCUCCAAGCCGAUAAUCUCCACUGUAGCAGAACAACUUUCAUCAAUGUGUUCGCACAUCUCCUCAAUCCAUGCAGCCAGUGUUUCGGCCAGCUUCUCUUCGUGUCUCCCAUAAAGUCGACGUCAACAGGACUGGGCAAGUCUGAAAAAAACUCGGAGCCUCACCAGUAAUCUGAAGACAGGCAGAUUUUCCACUGUCUGCCCUUUCAGAUUCUCGGAACUGACCUGUGAACCCAGGUCUCUGGGCAGCAGCAGUACCUCGAACUUACUCAGCUUCCCGAACAAAAGACUUAAGCCAAUCUCCACAUAGGUUAGCAGACCCAAUAUUAAACUGACCCACCCACAGAAUUCUGCCCAGUUACCUUGGAUCCACCAGCCGCAACACGCCUCGUGGUACACAACAAAAUUCCACCUUGAAUCCAAACGACGUCAGGAAUCUUGGACCCGUUCUUGGAGCUGAGAAUCGAGUUACUUUCUCAAGGUCACGUUGACUCUCCUUAUGUUUCUGCCAGUAUCAGCGAGGUUCAGUAGGUCUCAUGACUGUCUUUCGAGCCUGGUAUGCUCUAGAGAUGUUUCCAUGCCGAUAUUCUACACUGUAGCAGAACAACUUUCAUCAAUGUGUUCGCACAUCUCCUCAAUCCAUGCAGCAAGUGUUUCUGCCAGCUUCUCUUCGUGUCUCCCAUAAAGUCGACGUGAACAGGACUGGGCAAGUCUGAAAAUACCUCGGAGCCUCACCAGUAAGCUGAUGACAUUCAGAUUUUCCACUGUCUGCCCUUUCAGAUUCUGAAAACUGACCCAUGAACUCAGGUUUUUAGGCGGCAACAGUAUCUUGAACUUACUCAGAUUCCCGAACAAAAGACCUUAGCCAAUCUCCACAUAGGGCAGCAGACCCACCGUCAAACUGAUCCACCCACAGAAUACUGCCCAGUUAAGUUGGAUCCACCAGCCGCAGCAAGCCUCGUGGUACACACCAAUAUUCCACCUGGAAUCCAACCGGUAACUGCCAUCACCAGUGGUUGAUGCAUCAAGUCAGUGUUGGGGGUGAAGCUGCAUUAGACGAGAGUUUCCUAAGGGAAAUGUGAUUCUAUCCAGAAGGGUCCCAUUGUCCUUUUCUCUUCCCUCUUUCAUUUUGUUCAGAUCUGUAUACACAGUACAAACGGAGGGAAUAAUGUCCAUGAUCAGUUUAUGGAUUCACACCUAUUUAAACUUUCUAACAGUUCACAGUACACGGAG